UAAAGAUUUAGUAUUAUUCUUAGUUGUUAAAAUAAAUAAAAAUAUGCAUAUAAUUUAUUGUUUAAAAUUAAUGGUUUAGUAUAUAAGAUUUAAAAAUUAAUGAAAUUUAAUUUAAAUUUUUAAAAAUUUUCAAAAAUUUGUGCCAGAAGUUUCGGUUAUACAAAGAAUUUUUUAAUAAUAUUCGGUUAAAAUUUUAGUUAAAGAAUUUAUAAAUAAAAGUAUUUAAUUUAAAUAAAUUUUUGAUAAAAUAAAAAUUUUAUUAAAAUUACUUUAAAGUAUUGAAUCUAAAUAAAUUAUUAAUAAAACUAGGAUUAGAUACCCUAUUAUAUUAAUUAUAAUAAAAAAACCAAGCGAAAAGUAUAUAAUUACCUUAAGUUAAAAUAAAUGGCGGCUUAAUAAUUUUAUUAGGGAAUUUUGUUUAUUAAUGGAUAUUACCCAAAAUACCUUUCUUUAAUUUUAGUUUAUUUAUUUCCGAUAAUUUUUUUUUAUAUAAAAAUUUUUAAAUUAUUUUUAAUAAAUCAGGUCUACAUGUAGCUUAUAUUAAAGUUUAAAUGAAAUACAAUUAUAUAAUUUUAAUAAAUUGAAAAUAAAUAUUAAAAUAUUUAAGGAAAUAGAACUUAAAAGUAAUAAUUAUUAAGAAUAAUUUUAUGAAUAUACACUAUUAUAUGCACAAAUCGCCCGUCACUCUUUUAAAUAAGAUAAGUCGAAACAUAGUAAGUGUAUUGGAAAAUGUACUUGGAUUAAU
rnacentral:rRNA from 1 species